GACGAACGCUGGCGGCGUGCUUAACACAUGCAAGUCGAACGGAAAGGCCCUGCUUUUGUGGGGUGCUCGAGUGGCGAACGGGUGAGUAACACGUGAGUAACCUGCCCUUGACUUUGGGAUAACUUCAGGAAACUGGGGCUAAUACCGGAUAGGAGCUCCUGCUGCAUGGUGGGGGUUGGAAAGUUUCGGCGGUUGGGGAUGGACUCGCGGCUUAUCAGCUUGUUGGUGGGGUAGUGGCUUACCAAGGCUUUGACGGGUAGCCGGCCUGAGAGGGUGACCGGCCACAUUGGGACUGAGAUACGGCCCAGACUCCUACGGGAGGCAGCAGUGGGGAAUAUUGCACAAUGGGCGGAAGCCUGAUGCAGCAACGCCGCGUGCGGGAUGACGGCCUUCGGGUUGUAAACCGCUUUCGCCUGUGACGAAGCGUGAGUGACGGUAAUGGGUAAAGAAGCACCGGCUAACUACGUGCCAGCAGCCGCGGUGAUACGUAGGGUGCGAGCGUUGUCCGGAUUUAUUGGGCGUAAAGGGCUCGUAGGUGGUUGAUCGCGUCGGAAGUGUAAUCUUGGGGCUUAACCCUGAGCGUGCUUUCGAUACGGGUUGACUUGAGGAAGGUAGGGGAGAAUGGAAUUCCUGGUGGAGCGGUGGAAUGCGCAGAUAUCAGGAGGAACACCAGUGGCGAAGGCGGUUCUCUGGGCCUUUCCUGACGCUGAGGAGCGAAAGCGUGGGGAGCGAACAGGCUUAGAUACCCUGGUAGUCCACGCUGUAAACGGUGGGUACUAGGUGUGGGGUCCAUUCCACGGGUUCCGCGCCGUAGCUAACGCUUUAAGUACCCCGCCUGGGGAGUACGGCCGCAAGGCUAAAACUCAAAGGAAUUGACGGGGCCCGCACAAGCGGCGGAGCAUGCGGAUUAAUUCGAUGCAACGCGUAGAACCUUACCUGGGUUUGACAUGGAUCGGGAGUGCUCAGAGAUGGGUGUGCCUCUUUUGGGGUCGGUUCACAGGUGGUGCAUGGCUGUCGUCAGCUCGUGUCGUGAGAUGUUGGGUUAAGUCCCGCAACGAGCGCAACCCUUGUUCACUGUUGCCAGCACGUUAUGGUGGGGACUCAGUGGAGACCGCCGGGGUCAACUCGGAGGAAGGUGGGGAUGACGUCAAGUCAUCAUGCCCCUUAUGUCCAGGGCUUCACGCAUGCUACAAUGGCUGGUACAGAGAGUGGCGAGCCUGUGAGGGUGAGCGAAUCUCGGAAAGCCGGUCUCAGUUCGGAUUGGGGUCUGCAACUCGACCUCAUGAAGUCGGAGUCGCUAGUAAUCGCAGAUCAGCAACGCUGCGGUGAAUACGUUCCCGGG
rnacentral:rRNA from 1 species